rnacentral:rRNA from 1 species
CCUACGGGAGGCAGCAGUGGGGAAUAUUGGGCAAUGGGCGCAAGCCUGACCCAGCAACGCCGCGUGAAGGAAGAAGGCUUUCGGGUUGUAAACUUCUUUUCUCAGGGACGAAGAAAGUGACGGUACCUGAGGAAUAAGCCACGGCUAACUACGUGCCAGCAGCCGCGGUAAUACGGAGGUGGCAGGCGUUAUCCGGAUUUACUGGGUGUAAAGGGAGUGUAGGCGGGACUGCAAGUCAGAUGUGAAAACCACGGGCUCAACCUGGGGCCUGCAUUGGAAACUGUAGUUCGUGAGUACUGGAGAGGCAGACGGAAUUCGUAGUGUAGCGGUGAAAUGCGUAGAUAUUAGGAGGAACACCAGUGGCGAAGGCGGUCUGCUGGACAGCAACUGACGCUGAGGCGCGAAAGCGUGGGGAGCAAACAGGAUUAGAUACCCUUGUAGUC